UCCCGGCAGUCCAAGUCGCAGCCACAAUUAUUGGGUCUAAAACAUCCGUAGCUUGCCUUGUAAGUCUUUUGUGAAAUCGGGACUCUUAAGGUUCCGGCGGGCAAAAGAUACUGCUUGGCUAGAGACCGGGAGACGUGAGAAGUACGGUUCGGGUAGCGGUAAAAUGUGUUGAUCCGAACUGGACUAACAAUAGCAAAGGCAUCUCACGAGAACGGAUCUGACAGUGAGGGAUGAAGGCUAGGGUCGCGAAAGG
rnacentral:rRNA from 1 species